rnacentral:piRNA from 1 species
UUCCAGAGGACUCAGGUUCAGUUCCCA